UAUGUACGUCAAUUUACUCUGUACCUUGGGGUUGUAGGGCAGAAUUUGUCCGCUUUUUCUGGAUCUUUGUGGGUGAUCAAGGGAUUUUCUAUUGUAACUGUAAAGAGCAUGGUCAUACAAAAGGGUAUGGUAUGAAGAUCAAAAAGAGGAGGUGAGACCAAAUUGGACGAAAACAUCACAGACAUCUUACCACAGUCUCCAAUAGAAAAGCUGUUUGUGAGGCCGUUAAUGUACGCUUCACUUCCCCAGGCAGACACGUUGACGAAGAAGUCAGGCGAGUCUCUAAUUAUGAAUCCAAAAGUGUGUCUCUCUUCACCAAUAUCUGAAAUGUACAGACAAAGAACAGUUUUCUAUGAUACAAACACGUUUCCAAACCACCAGAGGCCGCUGCAAUACAAGCCACAAGGCAAAGAGACGCGCCAUGAAUAAGAAGAACAUAAAACUCAUUCACUGAGAGCAACUCGUCUAGGUUUAUUAAGGUGACUUGCUUUUUCUGUCAGGAAAACUUCUGCUGUCCGUUUUCCAGAUGACGACACCAGCUAGCUUCUAUAAAAGAAAAUAAUUUUCGCGCCCUUCAGGCCCAGCUGUCGCACGCGACCAUAUGACGGGCGCACGUGCUUCCUGAUGACCUCAUACUGAGAAGAAAUGGAGCCACUGGAGGAAUGCCGUGAUUGGCUGCCCUCUCCGCUACAGGUCAUCUCCCUGGGGCCCCUUCCUGCGCUCGACCACUCCAUGUGCCAUGAAUCCAUCAUAUGUGCAUCCCGCUGUUCCCCCGGCCUCCGCGAUGGCACCAGACAGCAGAUUUGUGGUUCAGAUGUCCGCCCUUUCUUUCAAAAACAUGAGAACACAGAAGGAAGCAGAGCCACCAGUGUUCGCCCGGCAGGCAUGGCAACACAAAGACAACACACGCCAGGGAUUAAACAUCUGUAGCUGUACUUUGCUCUUUGUAGCUCGAAAGAACCAAGGGGCUUGCAUAAAUUCACGGAAAUGGUUACAGGUUUUGUCGCGUUUAGGCUGGAGACAUGUCAACGCUAUUCACUGAGCU
rnacentral:lncRNA from 1 species